GACCGUGAGCUCAGUUGGUAGAGCAUUGGGCUAGUAUUCCAAAGGUCGUAGGUUUGAUUCCCAUCGUGGUCA
rnacentral:tRNA from 1 species